CCACGUAAAUUUAUUACUGCAAAGCUUUCGAUCCGUGAGCCAUAUUAUAGCACUGAUGACGAUCCGGGCUUACGGAUCGAAAGCUUUGCAGUAAUAAAUUUACGUGGUGUUUCCA
rnacentral:miRNA from 1 species